rnacentral:tRNA from 4 species
GGGUGAUUAGCUCAGCUGGGAGAGCACCUCCCUUACAAGGAGGGGGUCGGCGGUUCGAUCC